rnacentral:rRNA from 1 species
UAAAACUCAAAUGAAUUGACGGGGGCCCGCACAAGCGGUGGAGCAUGUGGUUUAAUUCGAUGCAACGCGAAGAACCUUACCUGGUCUUGACAUCCACAGAAGAAUCCAGAGAUGGAUUUGUGCCUUCGGGAACUGUGAGACAGGUGCUGCAUGGCUGUCGUCAGCUCGUGUUGUGAAAUGUUGGGUUAAGUCCCGCAACGAGCGCAACCCUUAUCCUUUGUUGCCAGCGGUCCGGCCGGGAACUCAAAGGAGACUGCCAGUGAUAAACUGGAGGAAGGUGGGGAUGACGUCAAGUCAUCAUGGCCCUUACGACCAGGGCUACACACGUGCUACAAUGGCGCAUACAAAGAGAAGCGACCUCGCGAGAGCAAGCGGACCUCAUAAAGUGCGUCGUAGUCCGGAUUGGAGUCUGCAACUCGACUCCAUGAAGUCGGAAUCGCUAGUAAUCGUGGAUCAGAAUGCCACGGUGAAUACGUUCCCGGGCCUUGUACACACCGCCCGUCACACCAUGGGAGUGGGUUGCAAAAGAAGUAGGUAGCUUAACCUUCGGGAGGGCGCUUACCACUUUGUGAUUCAUGACUGGGGUGAAGUCGUAACAAGGUAACCGUAGGGGAACCUGC